CAUGCCAAUAAGGGUACGUGGAGGGAAUAUAGCUAUUUGCAUCUUUGGUAAAGGGAACAUUUUAAAGUUAUUGGUAUGAACCUCUGCCACACAGGUGAAUUGAACAGAAAUGCCUUUCCUGGUUUAGUCUUUCCUCAUCUAUGAUCAAUGACAGUUGAGAUCUUUUUUUAAUAACUCCGUACUUUUCUUGAAACUCAAGGUAACUUAAUAGGUUGAUUUGACAAAGUGCUUUGUGAGAUCCAUAAAUUCUUGGAAUUCACAGAUUUUUUUCAGAACCCUCAGAAUCAUGAGGCUAUUUCAAAUUUUGUUUUUAGUAGUAAAGGGGAUUCAAAUUGUGUGUGAUUAAGUAGUAUAGAGGAUGUGUACACGUAUUAGUCUUUUUAGACAAUUUUGAAUUUGUUGGUUGGGCUAGCUAUUUUCUCCAGGUUUUAAGCUUCUUAAAUGCUGAUGAUGUAGUGAAUGAUAUGUAGAUUUUUGGUGCAGUUCACAUAU
rnacentral:lncRNA from 1 species